rnacentral:rRNA from 1 species
GACGAACGCUGGCGGCGUGCUUAACACAUGCAAGUCGAACGAAGAGCGAUGGAAGCUUGCUUCUAUCAAUCUUAGUGGCGAACGGGUGAGUAACGCGUAAUCAACCUGCCCUUCAGAGGGGGACAACAGUUGGAAACGACUGCUAAUACCGCAUACGAUCUAAUCUCGGCAUCGAGGAUAGAUGAAAGGUGGCCUCUACAUGUAAGCUAUCACUGAAGGAGGGGAUUGCGUCUGAUUAGCUAGUUGGAGGGGUAACGGCCCACCAAGGCGAUGAUCAGUAGCCGGUCUGAGAGGAUGAACGGCCACAUUGGGACUGAGACACGGCCCAGACUCCUACGGGAGGCAGCAGUGGGGAAUCUUCCGCAAUGGACGAAAGUCUGACGGAGCAACGCCGCGUGAGUGACGACGGCCUUCGGGUUGUAAAGCUCUGUUAAUCGGGACGAAAGGCCUUCUUGCGAAUAGUGAGAAGGAUUGACGGUACCGGAAUAGAAAGCCACGGCUAACUACGUG